GGAAGGAUCAUUAACACGUUUUUAUCACAAAACAAACCAAAACUCUGUGAACUGAGGUGGGCCUCCCAGUGUCUGGGGGUAAAAAGGCUCGUAUAAGGGGUGUAAAAGCUCCUUAUAUUUGUGCCUUCUGCUUGCCGAACCCUUUAUUUAACCGAUCCAACCUCGUCAAGAAGUGUUAUAAACCUUGUGUUUGUAGCCCCUCUCUUUUCAAGGUAUACCAUUGAUUUUUCUCUUAUGUGCAUCUGCUGACACCGACACGUGUCGCAGAGUCACUUAAAACAAACUCGAACAACUCUUAGCAACGGAUAUCUUGGUUCCCACAACGAUGAAGAACGCAGCAAACUGCGAUACGUCUUGCGAAUUGCAGAAUUCAGUGAAUCAUCAAAUUUUCGAACGCAUUCGGCGCUCUUGGGCAUUCCUGAGAGCACGUUCCCUUCAGUGUCGCUUUGCGCCCAACUCAGCGGCGUGCUUUCUUUUCUUUUAAAGACAAGAAGGUGCGUGCAGCUGGAGAAUGAGUGUCUCGGUUCCUCGCAACUGAGUCACUUUAAAUGUAACGGAUUGCCCUCGACAUAGAAUGGGCAACGCUUGGUAAUGGGUAAUGGGUUUCAAAGUGCUUUUUUCCCUUGCGGAAAUUCCUUUGAUUCUCUUUGCUUCUUUUACAUCAAACGUUGUUUCAGUUGUCGAUUUGGGGAAUCUUAAACCCAAUGAAAUCUUGUUGUUGUUUAGUUAACUUGUUGAUUAGACAGCACCAACACAUUUCCAGCAUCUUAGACCUGAAGUGGAGCGAGGUUACCCGCUGAAUUUAAGCAUAUUAUUAAGCGGAGGAGAAGAAACUAACAAGGAUUCCCCCAGUAACGGCGAGUGAAGCGGGAAUAGCUCACAGUUAAAAUCGGGUUCCAUCUCGGACCUCGAGUUGUAAUCUAAAGACGUGCGUUCUGCGUGCGACCUGGGUAUAACUCCUUUGGAACAGGGGAUCAUAGAGGGUGAGAAUCCCGUCUUUGACCCGGAGUUCGCCGCGUACGAUGCGCGUUCAAAGAGUCGAGUUGCUUGGGACUGCAGCUCUAAAUGGGUGGUAAACUUCAUCUAAAGCUAAAUACGGGUGGGAGACCGAUAGCGAACAAGUAGCGUGAGCGAAAGAUGAAAAGAACUUUGAAAAGAGAGUUAAAAAGUACUUGAAAUUGCUAAGAGGGAAGUUAUGGAAACCAGUCUUUGCUUUGCGUCAUGUAACUAUUCGGUUUUCGAAGGGCAGUCGGGUGCAGAGUUUCAUAGCCUGUAGCCGGCUGCCGGACUGGACCGUGUAGGUUAGGGCGUGAGGCGAGUCAGAAUCAAUUUGAGGCGCCGUAGAAUACCGGUUGGAAGCUACUGUCUCUGACAAGUUAUAGCCUCCGGAGAUGCGGUGCUUCAGAUUGAGGAAAUGACAAGGCACCUUUAGCCCCGUUUGCCUGCGUUGUCAGUCAGCUUGGAACAGCAAAGCUGUGCGGUUGGCGAAACGAUGUACUGUAGGCGGCAAGCUACGUGUCUUUGCGAUUCUGACGAAAAUGGUUUUCAUCGACCCGUCUGGAAACACGGACAAAGGAGUCUAACAUAUAUGCGAGUAUUUGGGUGGUAAACCCUGAUGCGAAAUGAAAGUGAAGGACACCUAGUGUCUGAGGUAGGAACCCGCAAGGGGGCACUAUCGACCGAUCGAUCACUUGUGGUAGAUUUGAGUAAGAGCAUAUCUGUUGGGACCCGAAAGAUGGUGAUCUAUGCCUGAACAGGGUGAAGCCAGGGGAAACUCUGGUGGAAGCUCGUAGCGAUACUGACGUGCAAAUCGUUCGUCUGAUUGGGUAUAGGGGCGAAAGACUAAUCGAACCAUCUAGUAGCUGGUUCCCUC
rnacentral:misc_RNA from 1 species